rnacentral:sRNA from 1 species
GGAUGUCCACUGGUUUGCACCGCUGAUGAGGUUUGAUGUGAUUCUCUUUUGACUGA